UAAAUUUUAGUUUAAGUAAAACAUUAUAUUUACAAUAUAAAAAUAAUAAUAAUUAAAUUUAA
rnacentral:tRNA from 1 species